UGCCGAGGAGCGCUGCGAGACUUCCGUCCCAGGCUCGGCCCUUCAAAAACUGCGCUCACCUUAA
rnacentral:ncRNA from 16 species